CAGCCGCCACGGGAAUACGUAGGUGGCAAGCGUUGUCCGGAAUUAUUGGGCGUAAAGGGCUCGCAGGCGGUUUCUUAAGUCUGAUGUGAAAGCCCCCGGCUCAACCGGGGAGGGUCAUUGGAAACCGGGAAACUUGAGUGCAGAAGAGGAGAGUGGAAUUCCACGUGUAGCGGUGAAAUGCGUAGAGAUGUGGAGGAACACCAGUGGCGAAGGCGACUCUCUGGUCUGUAACUGACGCUGAGGAGCGAAAGCGUGGGGAGCGAACAGGAUUAGAUACCCCCGUAGUCCCUGUCUCUUAUAC
rnacentral:rRNA from 1 species